rnacentral:rRNA from 2 species
UACGUAGGGGGCGAGCGUUGUCCGGAGUUACUGGGCGUAAAGGGCGUGCAGGCGGUGCGGUAAGUUUAGCGUGACAGUCUCCGGCUUAACUGGAGAAGGCCGCUGAAAACUGCUGGACUUGAGGGCCAGAGAGGGACAUAGAAUUCCGGGUGGAGUGGUGAAAUGCGUAGAUAUCCGGAGGAAUACCAAAGGCGAAGGCAGUGUCCUGGCUGGCAACUGACGCUGAGGCGCGAAAGCUAGGGGAGCGAACAGG